rnacentral:rRNA from 1 species
GACGAACGCUGGCGGCGUGCUUAACACAUGCAAGUCGAGCGGUAAGGCCCUUUCGGGGGUACACGAGCGGCGAACGGGUGAGUAACACGUGGGUGACCUGCCCUCAGCUCUGGGAUAAGCCUGGGAAACCGGGUCUAAUACUGGAUAUGACUCCAUGACGCAUGUUGUGGGGUGGAAAGCCUUGUGCGGCUGAGGAGUCGG